rnacentral:tRNA from 1 species
UGCGGAGUAGAGCAGUUCGGUAGCUCGCCAGGCUCAUAUCCUGGAGGCCGCGGGUUCAAAUCCCGCCUCCGCAA